rnacentral:rRNA from 1 species
UGGGGAAUAUUGCACAAUGGGGGAAACCCUGAUGCAGCGACGCCGCGUGAGUGAAGAAGUAUUUCGGUAUGUAAAGCUCUAUCAGCAGGGAAGAUAAUGACGGUACCUGACUAAGAAGCCCCGGCUAACUACGUGCCAGCAGCCGCGGUAAUACGUAGGGGGCAAGCGUUAUCCGGAUUUACUGGGUGUAAAGGGAGCGUAGGUGGUUCGGCAAGUCUGAUGUGAAAGCCCGGGGCUCAACCCCGGGACUGCAUUGGAAACUGUCGGACUUGAGUGCUGGAGAGGUAAGUGGAAUUCCUAGUGUAGCGGUGAAAUGCGUAGAUAUUAGGAGGAACACCAGUGGCGAAGGCGGCUUACUGGACAGUAACUGACACUGAGGCUCGAAAGCGUGGGGAGCAAACAGG